UGUGUGUGUGUGUGUGUGUGUGUGUGUGUGUGUGUGUGUGUUUUUUGACAAUGCCACGCAGACGCAGACACGCCGCUCGCCCCGUUCGUAGACGUAGGAGGACUCACAGGUCCUCCCAUGUCCACAGACGGAGGAGAGUUGUCCGACGCAGACGCUAGGCAACACUAAUAAACAUGCAUUUUUAGGGCCCGGACAAGUGAAUAAAAAAAAUAAAAAAAGAUAUGAAUUGUCC